AGCUUUAUAUUCAAUAAUAAUGAUUUAAAAUUGCAAAUUUUAAGGAGUAUAAUUUAUUUAUAUACUAAGGCUU
rnacentral:tRNA from 1 species